GAUGAACGCUGGCGGCGUGCCUAACACAUGCAAGUUGAGCGAUUCUCUUCGGAGAAGAGCGGCGGACGGGUGAGUAACGCGUGGGUAACCUGCCCUAUACACACGGAUAACAUACCGAAAGGUAUGCUAAUACGGGAUAACAUAAGAGAUUCGCAUGGAUUUCUUAUCAAAGCUUUUGCGGUAUAGGAUGGACCCGCGUCUGAUUAGCUAGUUGGUAAGGUAACGGCUUACCAAGGCGACGAUCAGUAGCCGACCUGAGAGGGUGAUCGGCCACAUUGGAACUGAGACACGGUCCAAACUCCUACGGGAGGCAGCAGUGGGGAAUAUUGCACAAUGGGCGAAAGCCUGAUGCAGCAACGCCGCGUGAGCGAUGAAGGCCUUCGGGUCGUAAAGCUCUGUCCUCAAGGAAGAUAAUGACGGUACUUGAGGAGGAAGCCCCGGCUAACUACGUGCCAGCAGCCGCGGUAAUACGUAGGGGGCUAGCGUUAUCCGGAAUUACUGGGCGUAAAGGGUGCGUAGGUGGUUUCUUAAGUCAGAGGUGAAAGGCUACGGCUCAACCGUAGUAAGCCUUUGAAACUGAGAAACUUGAGUGCAGGAGAGGAGAGUAGAAUUCCUAGUGUAGCGGUGAAAUGCGUAGAUAUUAGGAGGAAUACCAGUUGCGAAGGCGGCUCUCUGGACUGUAACUGACACUGAGGCACGAAAGCGUGGGGAGCAAACAGGAUUAGAUACCCUGGUAGUCCACGCCGUAAACGAUGAGUACUAGCUGUCGGAGGUUACCCCCUUCGGUGGCGCAGCUAACGCAUUAAGUACUCCGCCUGGGAAGUACGCUCGCAAGAGUGAAACUCAAAGGAAUUGACGGGGACCCGCACAAGUAGCGGAGCAUGUGGUUUAAUUCGAAGCAACGCGAAGAACCUUACCUAAGCUUGACAUCCUUCUGACCUCUCCCUAAUCGGAGAUUUCCCUUCGGGGACAGAAGUGACAGGUGGUGCAUGGUUGUCGUCAGCUCGUGUCGUGAGAUGUUGGGUUAAGUCCCGCAACGAGCGCAACCCUUGCCUUUAGUUGCCAGCAUUAAGUUGGGCACUCUAGAGGGACUGCCAGGGAUAACCUGGAGGAAGGUGGGGAUGACGUCAAAUCAUCAUGCCCCUUAUGCUUAGGGCUACACACGUGCUACAAUGGGUGGUACAGAGGGCAGCCAAGUCGUGAGGCGGAGCUAAUCCCUUAAAGCCAUUCUCAGUUCGGAUUGUAGGCUGAAACUCGCCUACAUGAAGCUGGAGUUACUAGUAAUCGCAGAUCAGAAUGCUGCGGUGAAUGCGUUCCCGGGUCUUGUACACACCGCCCGUCACACCACGGGAGUUGGGGGCGCCCGAAGCCACUUAGCUAACCCUUUUGGGAAGCGAGUGUCGAAGGUGAAAUCAAUAACUGGGGUGAAGUCGUAACAAGGUAGCCGUAUCGGAAGGUGCGGCUGGAUCACCUCCUUUCUAAGGAGAAUUGCCUACUGUUUAAUUUUGAGGGUUCAUUAAAUGGAAACUCAACAAUAGAGGGCGUAGCCCAAUGCAACUGUAUUUUGAGCAACGGGAUGAACAUGAACGUAUGUGAAUGUUUAGACGUUGGCGACAUGCAAUAGCAUUUUAGUACUUUGAAAACUGCAUAACAUUUAGUGAUAUGACAUCAUUUAAUUAAUAUAUGGACAAGAAAAGUCCUUAAAAUUACAACUAUAAUAACUGGUCAAGUUAUUAAGGGUGCAGGGCGGAUGCCUUGGCACUAGGAGCCGAUGAAGGACGUGAUAAGCUGCGAUAAGCUUCGGGGAGUUGCACGUAAACUUUGAUCCGAAGAUUUCCGAAUGAGGAAACUCACUUAGAGUAAUGUCUAAGUAUCGUUAAGUGAAUACAUAGCUUAGCGAGGGGAACCCGGGGAACUGAAACAUCUAAGUACCUGGAGGAAGAGAAAGAAAAAUCGAUUCCGUAAGUAGCGGCGAGCGAACGCGGAACAGGCCAAACCAAUGAAGUUUACUUCGUUGGGGUUGCGGACAUAUCAUUAAGCAAGAGGUCAUCGUAAAUGAAGAGAGUUGGAAAGCUCCGCUAUAGAAGGUAAUAGCCCUGUAGUUGAAACGAUAAUUCUUCAGAUAUGAUCCAGAGUACCACGGGACACGUGAAACCCUGUGGGAAGCAGGAGGGACCAUCCUCCAAGCCUAAAUACUACCUAGUGACCGAUAGCGCAU
rnacentral:rRNA from 1 species